UACGUAAGGUGCAAGCGUUAAUCGGAAUUACUGGGCGUAAAGCGUGCGCAGGCGGUUUUGUAAGUUUGUCGUGAAAGCCCCGGGCUCAACCUGGGAAUUGCGAUGAAGACUGCAAGGCUUGAAUCUGGCAGAGGGGGGUAGAAUUCCACGUGUAGCAGUGAAAUGCGUAGAGAUGUGGAGGAACACCGAUGGCGAAGGCAGCCCCCUGGGUCAAGAUUGACGCUCAUGCACGAAAGCGUGGGGAGCAAACAGG
rnacentral:rRNA from 1 species